rnacentral:lncRNA from 1 species
AAAAGCCUUAAAAAUGAUAAAUAAAAUAUUAAUUAAUUAAGAGGUGGGUGAGGGCCGGUUUGGGCAACCAUGCAGGUUGGGACGAUCGGUCUGCAUGGGUAGCACAAAGUGAGCUCGCAGGUUGGGCCUUCAUGCCGGGUGGGUUUGUGGGCCACAUGGGGCUAUUGCGAGGCAUGGAUUUGGGCCACCGCGUGUGCCCUUGCUUGUUGUUGGUUAAAUGGCCAACACACAUGUGGGCUGGUGCGCAUAUGUGGGCUUCCCCUUAUGUGCAUGUGCGCCACACUAUGCAUGGGGGAGCCUUGUUCGCACAUGAAUACAAGUCUUCCUAAGGUGCGGCAUUGGCCAGCUUUUUACCUUUGCGUUUGAUCUUUUUGGGUCGUGGUCCACUUUAGCCAUCUUGGGUUGGGCCAAAAGCUGGCUUUUCCUUUCAAUUCUUCAAGCCC